rnacentral:rRNA from 1 species
AGAGUUUGAUCCUGGCUCAGGACGAACGCUGGCGGCGUGCCUAAUACAUGCAAGUCGAGCGGACUAAUUAAGAGCUUGCUCUUAAGAGGUCAGCGGCGGACGGGUGAGUAACACGUGGGCAACCUGCCCUGUAGACUGGGAUAACACCGAGAAUCGGUGCUAAUACCGGGUAAUAGAGUGAACGCGCAUGCGUUUACUCUCAAAGAUGGCUUCGGCUAUCACUACAGGAUGGGCCCGCGGCGCAUUAGCUAGUUGGUAAGGUAACGGCUUACCAAGGCGACGAUGCGUAGCCGACCUGAGAGGGUGAUCGGCCACACUGGGACUGAGACACGGCCCAGACUCCUACGGGAGGCAGCAGUAGGGAAUCUUCCGCAAUGGACGAAAGUCUGACGGAGCAACGCCGCGUGAGUGAUGAAGGGUUUCGGCUCGUAAAGCUCUGUUGUUAGGGAAGAACAAGUAUUGUUCGAAUAGGGCAGUACCUUGACGGUACCUAACCAGAAAGCCACGGCUAACUACGUGCCAGCAGCCGCGGUAAUACGUAGGUGGCAAGCGUUGUCCGGAAUUAUUGGGCGUAAAGCGCGCGCAGGCGGUCUUUUAAGUCUGAUGUGAAAGCCCCCGGCUCAACCGGGGAGGGUCAUUGGAAACUGGGAGACUUGAGUACAGAAGAGGAGAGUGGAAUUCCACGUGUAGCGGUGAAAUGCGUAGAUAUGUGGAGGAACACCAGUGGCGAAGGCGACUCUCUGGUCUGUAACUGACGCUGAGGCGCGAAAGCGUGGGGAGCAAACAGGAUUAGAUACCCUGGUAGUCCACGCCGUAAACGAUGAGUGCUAGGUGUUAGGGGUUUCGAUGCCCUUAGUGCCGAAGUUAACACAUUAAGCACUCCGCCUGGGGAGUACGACCGCAAGGUUGAAACUCAAAGGAAUUGACGGGGGCCCGCACAAGCAGUGGAGCAUGUGGUUUAAUUCGAAGCAACGCGAAGAACCUUACCAGGUCUUGACAUCCUUUGACCACUCUAGAGAUAGAGCUUUCCCCUUCGGGGGACAAAGUGACAGGUGGUGCAUGGUUGUCGUCAGCUCGUGUCGUGAGAUGUUGGGUUAAGUCCCGCAACGAGCGCAACCCUUGAUCUUAGUUGCCAGCAUUCAGUUGGGCACUCUAAGGUGACUGCCGGUGACAAACCGGAGGAAGGUGGGGAUGACGUCAAAUCAUCAUGCCCCUUAUGACCUGGGCUACACACGUGCUACAAUGGAUGGUACAAAGAGCAGCAAAACCGCGAGGUUAAGCGAAUCUCAUAAAGCCAUUCUCAGUUCGGAUUGCAGGCUGCAACUCGCCUGCAUGAAGCCGGAAUUGCUAGUAAUCGCGGAUCAGCAUGCCGCGGUGAAUACGUUCCCGGGCCUUGUACACACCGCCCGUCACACCACGAGAGUUUGUAACACCCGAAGUCGGUGGGGUAACCCUUUUGGGAGCCAGCCGCCUAAGGUGGGACAGAUGAUUGGGGUGAAGUCGUAACAAGGUAGCCG